UGAUGGUACGGCUGGCAGUAGUCUAGGUGCCAGGAUGCUGCAGGGAGGGGUGAAGAAAGGACUGCUGCUACGUAACAUGCAAGUGGACUGACCCCUGACCUUUAAACCCCGAUCUCUAACCUCUAACCCCAGACAUUCAACAUCGCACAGGACUAAGCUCCCUAGGUACAGAUCUAGGAUCAGCUUCCCCUCCCCCAAUCCUAACCUUAACCCUUUACACUCGUACUCGUAUCCAUCCGGGUUGAAAAUGGCAGAUUUGGGCACCAAUAAAUACCUAAAUUGGAACGUAAUGCUCAUCACAGCGAUGUAUGAGUUUUGACUGACAGACAUUCUGAACUUGAGAACCUCACGCAACGUAAAGCUGCAACCCAUCCCUCCUCGUAACUUUUGCAAAUGUUUUGUUGUCUGAGUGAAAAUGCUGUCAAUUAAGAGGACAAUAUGCAUUAUGUUGAGGAUUAUAAUAAAUAUCGCUUUGAUGUCAUGCAUCGCCUGUGAGUACAGUUACCAGAUGACUUAUCGUCAUACCCUGGGUUGUUCUGAACAGAAUGAGACUAUGGUUGAUGUAGUUACCAGAUGACUUGUCGUCAUACCCUGGGUUGUUCUGAACAGAAUGAGACUAUGUUUGAUGUACAGUUACCAGAUGACUUGUCGUCAUACCCUGGGUUGUUCUGAACAGAAUGAGACUAUGUUUGAUGUACAGUUACCAGAUGACUUGUCGUCAUACCCUGGGUUGUUCUGAACAGAAUGAGACUAUGUUAGAUGUAGUUACCAGAUGACUGUCGUCAUACCCUGGGUUGUUCUGAACAGAAUGAGACUAUGUUUGAUGUACAGUUACCAGAUGACUUGUCGUCAUACCCUGGGUUGUUCUGAACAGAAUGAGACUAUGUUUGAUGUAGUUACCAGAUGACUUGUCGUCAUACCCUGGGUUGUUCUGAACAGAAUGAGACUAUGUUAGCCUCUGCACACACACGUGAAUACGGUCAUCACUCCUUUCUCUGCACGCCAACAUCAUGGUCUGUUUCUCUGAAUUGCCUUGUGAAAGCCUAACACUGUAAUGUCAUAUUUUAUAUCUUAGCUAGUCAUGUUGGCAACAGAACAGGCUUUUAAAUGAUGCCCACCUGACCCAGAUUGCUAUUUAUAAUGACAGUGUUUAGUUUGCCUAAACAACAGCAGUAAAUGUGUGAUGACGAGGAGGAAGGGCUGUGUUCCAAAGAAAACAACUACAAGUGUGCUUCCUCUAGUUCCUCAACGGUCCAGCUAGGAGAGCUCAAAAAAGCACCUUAUAGCUGAAGACUUCUUUAAGUCAGAAAGGUGCAUUGAAAUUACUUAGGAACUAUGCACAGUUUGGAGAGGUGUGGCCACUUGGAGACGCCAGUCAGACCUCUCACUCAAACCCCACAGUUUGGAGAGGUCUGGCCACUUGGAGACGCCAGUCAGACCUCUCACUCAAACCCCACAGUUUGGAGAGGUGUGUGGCCACUUGGAGACACCAGUCAGACCUCUCACUCAAACCCCACAGUUUGGAGAGGUCUGGCCACUUGGAGACGCCAGUCAGACCUCUCACUCAAACCCCACAGUUUGGAGAGGUGUGUGGCCACUUGGAGACACCAGUCAGACCUCUCAUUCAACCCCUUUAAACCCCAUUUUCCAGCAAUAUUCUUAACAUGUUACUGAAUAUAUCCAGAGUAUUUCAGAUUUCGUUAUCAACCAAUAAUGUGAAAAGUACAGUAUAUGUAAAAUGAACAUAAAAUCAACAGUGUAAUGUUUGAAUUCAGUCUUGUGUCAGGUGAACUGUUGUGUCCUCACCUUUGGUCUAAUAAUUUUCCCAUGAUCUCCAAACUGUUCCCUUUCAAUUGCUACCAUGGUUAUGCAUAUGCUUGUCAUAUUUCGUCUGUAAGAAACAUUUUAAUUCAGCCCUAUCCAUGUAGGCCAAUUCCCAGGAGUGUAAAGGGUUAACCGGAAGUGGGGGGCUGACCCAAGAUGAGCAUUUAGGGGAAACUGUAUCCUACUCCUCUAACUCCUCACACAGACAGGACUGGGACCAUCUGCUCUCCCAUAUCACUACUACAUAGAUAUAUAUAUAUAUAUAUAUAUAUAUAUAGAUAGAUAGAUAGAUAGAUAGAUAGAUAGAUAGAUAGAUAGGCUCCUGUUUUUAAAUUCUACACAUCGGAAGGAAGGAACCGAUGCAGUGUGGCCUGGUUCUCACGGAAAACUUCUCAAAUCUGUGGGAGAUUAACGCUAUGAGAGAUCAACGCUAUGAGAGAUCAACGCUAUGAGAGAUCAACGCUGUGGGAGAUCAACGCUGUGGGAGAUCAACGCUAUGAGAGAUUAACGCUAUGAGAGAUUAACGCUAUGAGAGAUUAACGCUAUGAGAGAUUAACGCUAUGAGAGAUCAACGCUAUGAGAGAUUAACGCUAUGAGAGAUUAACGCUAUGAGAGAUUAACGCUAUGAGAGAUUAACGCUAUGGGAGGUCAACGCUAUGAGAGAUUAACGCUAUGAGAGAUUAACGCUAUGAGAGAUUAACGCUAUGAGAGAUCAACGCUAUGGGAGAUCAACGCUAUGGGAGAUUAACGCUAUGAGAGAUUAACGCUAUGGGAGGUCAACGCUAUGAGAGAUUAACGCUACGGGAGGUCAACGCUACGGAAGGUCAACGCUACGGGAGGUCAACACUACGGGAGGUCAACGCUGCGGGAGGUCAACGCUGCGGGAGAUCAACGCUGCGGGAGAUCAAUGCUACGGGAGAUCAAUAUGGAGGUGAUCACCAACAGUCAGUCAGCCAUGGACGAUAGAGAAAGGAGUUUUAGAUUCACGAAAGAUAACCGUCAUUUGUUUGAUUGGGUUCUGUAUGUAUGGCUUUGGUAUCAUACAGAGAGUGAGAUGACUGUCUCUAAUAGCAGCCCCUGUGACACCCUAUUCCCUACAGGCCCUGGUCAAAAGUAGUGCACUAUAUAGGGAAUAGGGUGCCAAGUGUCUGAAAUGGUACCCUAUUCCCUACAGGCCCUGGUCAAAAGUAGUGCACUAUGUAGGGAAUAGGGUGCCAAGUGUCUAAAAUGGUACCCUAUUCCCAAUGGGCCCGCUGGUCAAAAGUAGUGCACUAUGUAGGGAAUAGGGUGCAAUUUGGGACUUAUUAACUUAGACAAUGUGAGGAUUUUACAAUGAGCACUUUUUUUUUCCUUUUUUUUUUUACCCAGAUAGAGAUGGGGACAGAACAUUCUGAUAGUGAUCUGGCCUCCUAUGGACAAUGGACAUUAUAUCACACUAACAAUGCAUUGGGUGUGAACCAAUAGUAAUAUCAUUCUGAUAUGUGUGUGUAAAAAUUAAAUGUAUAUUGUAAUACAGUAUUUGGUUCUGGAA
ensembl:lncRNA